GUCCACGCCGUAAACGAUGGAUACUAGCUGUUGGGAGCAAUCUCAGUGGCUAAGCGAAAGUGAUAAGUAUCCCACCUGGGGGAGUACGUUCGCAAGAAAUGAAACUCAAAGGAAUUGACGGGGGGCCCGCACAAGCUGUGGAGCAUGUUGUUUAAUUCGAUGAUACGCGAGGAACCUUACCAAGGCUUAAAUGUAGAUUGACCGGUUUGGAAACAGACUUUUCGCAAGACAAUUUACAAGGUGCUGCAUGGUUGUCGU
rnacentral:rRNA from 1 species